AUCAGUGUGUGUGUUAGUGGAAGCGUCUGGAAAGGCGUGCGAUACAGGGUGACAGCCCCGUACACAAAAAUGCACAUAUUGUGAGCUCGAUGAGUAGGGCGGGACACGUGGUAUCCUGUCUGAAUAUGGGGGGACCAUCCUCCAAGGCUAAAUACUCCUGACUGACCGAUAGUGAACCAGUACCGUGAGGGAAAGGCGAAAAGAACCCCGGCGAGGGGAGUGAAAAAGAACCUGAAACCGUGUACGUACAAGCAGUGGGAGCACGCUUAGGCGUGUGACUGCGUACCUUUUGUAUAAUGGGUCAGCGACUUAUAUUCUGUAGCAAGGUUAACCGAAUAGGGGAGCCGAAGGGAAACCGAGUCUUAACUGGGCGUUAAGUUGCAGGGUAUAGACCCGAAACCCGGUGAUCUAGCCAUGGGCAGGUUGAAGGUUGGGUAACACUAACUGGAGGACCGAACCGACUAAUGUUGAAAAAUUAGCGGAUGACUUGUGGCUGGGGGUGAAAGGCCAAUCAAACCGGGAGAUAGCUGGUUCUCCCCGAAAGCUAUUUAGGUAGCGCCUCGUGAAUUCAUCUCCGGGGGUAGAGCACUGUUUCGGCAAGGGGGUCAUCCCGACUUACCAACCCGAUGCAAACUGCGAAUACCGGAGAAUGUUAUCACGGGAGACACACGGCGGGUGCUAACGUCCGUCGUGAAGAGGGAAACAACCCAGACCGCCAGCUAAGGUCCCAAAGUCAUGGUUAAGUGGGAAACGAUGUGGGAAGGCCCAGACAGCCAGGAUGUUGGCUUAGAAGCAGCCAUCAUUUAAAGAAAGCGUAAUAGCUCACUGGUCGAGUCGGCCUGCGCGGAAGAUGUAACGGGGCUAAACCAUGCACCGAAGCUGCGGCAGCGACACUAUGUGUUGUU
rnacentral:rRNA from 1 species